GAUGAAGAACGUAGCGAAAUGCGAUAAGUAACGUGAAUUGCAGAAUUCAGUGAAUCAUCGAAUCUUUGAACGCACAUUGCGCCCCUUGGUAUUCCGAGGGGCAUGCCUGUUCGAGCGUCAUUAUAACCCCUCAAGCUCAGCUUGGUGUUGGGGCCUGCUGCACUGGCAGCCCUUAAAAUCAGUGGCGGCGCCAUCUGGCUCUAAGCGUAGUAAUUCUUCUCGCUAUGGAGUCCUGGUGGAUGCUUGCCAUCAACCCCCAAUUUUUCUAUGGUUGACCUCGGAUCAGGUAGGGAUACCCGCUGAACUUAAGCAUAUCAAUAAGCGGAGGA
rnacentral:misc_RNA from 1 species